rnacentral:piRNA from 1 species
ACUUAGUAGAAGCUUUGGAAAGAGAUAU